rnacentral:rRNA from 1 species
AGAGUUUGAUCAUGGCUCAGGAUGAACGCUAGCGGUAGGCCUAACACAUGCUAGUCGAACGGGAACAGGAAUUAUCUUGCUAAUUUGCUGACGAGUGGCGCACGGGUGCGUAACGCGUAUGCAACUUACCCCUAACAGGAGGAUAGCCUUUCGAAAGGAAGAAUAAUACUCCAUAAUAUUUAUAUGUGGCAUCACAUAUUUAUUAAAACUACGGUGGUUAGGGAUGGGCAUGCGUCCUAUUAGUUAGCUGGUGAGGUAACGGCUCACCAAGGCGAUGAUACGUAGGGGGCCUGAGAGGGUUAUCCCCCACACUGGUACUGAGACACGGACCAUCACUCCUACGGGAGGCAUCAGUGAGGAAUAUUGGUCAAUGGACGGAAGUCUGAACCAGCCAUGCCGCGUGCAGGAAGACUGCCCUAUGGGUUGUAAACUGCUUUUAUAUAGGAAUAAACCCCUCAACGUGUUGGGGGCUGAAUGUACUAUAAGAAUAAGCACCGGCUAACUCCGUGCCAGCAGCCGCGGUAAUACGGAGGGUGCAAGCGUUAUCCGGAUUUAUUGGGUUUAAAGGGUCCGCAGGUGGGAGAAUAAGUCAGUGGUGAAAUCCUAUCGCUUAACGAUAUAACUGCCAUUGAUACUGUAUUUCUUGAGUGUAAUUGAAGUUGGCGG